CAGCUAGAUGUCACUUACUAGACAACUAGAUGUCACCAGAUGUCAGGGUAAAAGAAAAUAUUAGCACUGAGGUAAGGAUUCAGAGAAUAUAUCACCAAAGAGUCCAUUUAAGGGAAAUGCUCAAAAAGGUUCUCUAUCAAGUAUCAAAUUCAUCAUAACAGAGAUCUCCAGAGUGGGAAAAGAUAUGGUCAACAAUGAUAGCAAAGAAUCACACAAUUUUAAUUAAAUACAAUGGAUGAUGGUAAUGUGACUGGGAAUUUGUGAUUUAAGUGAAAAGUAAAGAUUCCUGGAACAAAGAAGCCACAUUUUUGGAGAAAAUCUAAUAAUGUCUGGAAAUAGAACGCUUGACUGUUUCGGUAAAGCCUCUAGGUGGGACAGCUGCUGCAGGGAGAGGGGUGAGAAUGUUACAAGACUGUGAGGUGGCAGAGAACACCGGGGCUACUGAGUGUUCCGCAUUCUCAUCCUACUUGGGGUGGUGAGCAGUGGGACACGGAGGGAGGAAGAGUAUAAUUCGAAUAUUUAAUAUAAGAGCAGAGAAAUGUAUGUAUUACGGGGGUAAACACCAGUGGAAUGGAGAAGCACCAAAGAAUUUUGGAAGUACUCAGGAGGAAAAGAAAAGAACAGAGGGCAGCCUGGCCUCACCUCUCAGCAGGGCUGUCACAGUGCCCUCCCCUCACUUCCUGGAACUCCUUCUUUGGCUUUUGCGACACUGCGCUCACCGGCUUUUCCCACUGGAUGCUCCUUGUCCCUCUCUCUUAGUGGUGGUUGGUGCCACACCAUCUUUUCUUCCCUAGCUAUAAUGCCCCCUAGAUGAUUUUAGCUAAUCCCAUGGCUUUAGUAGUGUGGCUGGGUUGAGGGCCACGUCUCCAGCCCUGACCUUCCCCUGAGCUUCAGACCCAGACUCUACAGCCUAUUUAACAUCUUGGAAGCCAAGAUUAACAUGUAUAAAACCAAAUUCUUGUUUUAUGCCUCCCCUCACCCCAAACCUGUUCCUCCCUAUGCUUUAAUAAUAAUUACAGGUGGCCGGCCCCAUGACCUAGUGGUUAAGUUUGUUCACUCUGCUUUGGCAGCCAGGGUUCAGUUUCCAUGCCUGGACCUACACCACUCAUUGCCAGACAUGCUGUGGUGGUGACUCACAUACAAAAUAGAAGACUGGCAUAGGUGUUAGCUCAGGGUGAAUCUUCCUCAAGGAAAAAGAGGAAGAUUGGCAAUAGUUGUUAUCUCAGAGCCAAUCUUCCUCAGCAAAAAGAAAAGAAAGAGAGGAAGAAAGGGAUAGAAAGGAAGAAAGAAGGAAAGACAAGAAGGAAAGGGAAGGAAGGAAGGAAGGAGGGAAGAAAGAGAAAGAGAGAAAGAAACAAACAAACAAACAAAGAGAAAGAAAGAAAAAUAUUUACCAUUCAAUAAAUGUCACACCUUCUACCCAUUUACUUAAGCCGUAAACCAGGAAGUCAUCCUUGAUUCUUCUUUUCCUUCCCUCUGACAUCCAGUCCAUCAGCAGUCCAUGUCAGCUCUACCUCCCAAUCUUUCCUGAGUCUCUCCCCUUCUCCCCAUCCUGUGCCACCAUCCUUCUCUUACUUAACCUAUUACAAGAACCCCCUCGCUGGAAUCCCUUUUCCUACUCUUUCCCUCCUAUCAACCAUUCUCCAGACCGUAUCUACUCUAAAGUGGUCAUUAAGAAUGUAAAUCACACGAUAUCACUUUGCUAAGAACCAUCUAGCAGCUUCCUGUUGCAUUCAGACUGUGUCCAAUCUCCCUACCGUCCCUGCGAAGCCUUCCCUGCUCCCAGUCUCCUGUCUUCAGAUAUCUGCUUCGCUCCUUCCGCCCCAGCCGUGGCGCUCCUUCUGUCCCACAUGCGGGCCAAGAACAUUUCUGCACUGGGAACUUGGCACACGCUCUUUCCUCUGCCGGGAAUAAUUCGUUCUGUCCUGUCAUCAUUCAGGACUCACCUUAAUUGGCAUCCAGUCAUAGGGGACUUUCUUGAUGAACGACCCACACCCCCAGAUCGCCACCAAACCGCCACUAUUCUGUCACAUUAUCCUAAGUGUCAGUCAGGGUUCUUGGUUACACACAAGAGAAAGCAGCUGACUAAUCGAAUAUGUAUAUGUUAGAGCUUAGCAGGUGACCCACAGAGCUUUGAGGGGUCCAGAUGGCCAGGCUUUGAGACCACUCAUCCAGGAGCCACACCCUGAGUCACACCACCAGAGCUGGUCCAGCAGAGGCUGGUCUGUUAAUCCUGGCCAAGACAUCACAGCUCAAACCCUUGUUCCACUGACUCUGGACACUUUCUCUGCCCCAGAACUGCUGCCACCAUUGCCUCAGGCGAUUGUGUGUGGCUGCUGCCAUGACUGCCAUUUCAACAGCACAGAUCCUGUGGGCCUCCUCCCUUCAUGUCACUAGCUUGUGUUUGAAAGUCUGUGGUUCCCAGGCUGUCAAAGACCCCAGCUCGUCCUGCAUGCUGCAAAGGACCCUGGGGGUAUUACCGAACAUGAAGAGGAGAUAGUCCAGGUGCUUGUCCUUGACGGUGUCUGUCUCCAUGGAGGAUAGUGGAUUCUGGAGCCAGGAAGCCAGAGAAAAAGGUUGCCUCCCCUGCCUAGAUGAAUCUACUGACAGCUGAUCCAUGUAACUUCAGAGGGUUAACAUGAGGAUUAAAUGAGUCCAUGUAAACCCUUGGAGCCGUGACUGGAAAUAUAUACCUGCUCAAUAAGUGCUUGCUGUGGUUUUCUUUUCAUCUGCUAAUGAAGAGUGAAGACCUUUCCUCCCCCAGCAGAUCCCCGUACUUCCCUGGUCAGCACCAAUGCAGCUGCAAGAAAGACCGAAACCGAGACUUUGGCUCUCUAGAUUCCACAGCAGAGGAAGCGAGGACGGAGAGGGAAGUGGGGCUGCGUGUGGAUGAGCCACCUCUCAGAUUGGCCACGUGGCCGUUACUGGCUGCUUUUACCGGUGUUACAUCCUUUGCUCUGGUCUACCCACCAUAGUAAAAUAAUCCACUGGAGUAAUAGUGGAUUUGAAAAUUUCUCCUUGAAUUUCCAACAGUGUUUUGGUUUUGAUUUUGUUUUGUUUUGCUUUAUAGCAUUUAUGCAUUUCCAAACCAUGUUAACAUAUUAAUCUAAAAUAUCUCUCUUUGGCCUGCUUAAUUUUUUUUUUAAAGAUUUUAUUUUUUCCUUUUUCUCCCCAAAGCACCCCCGGUACAUAGUUGUAUAUUCUUCGUUGUGGGUCCUUCUAGUUGUGGCAUGUGGGACGCUGCCUCAGUGUGGUUUGAUGAGCAGUGCCGUGUCCGCGCCCAGGAUUCAAACCAACGAAACACUGGGCCGCCUGCAGCAGAGCGCAUGAACUUAACCACUCGGCCCCGGGGCCAGCACCCUGCUUAAUGUUUUUUAUCUUAAAUUUUAUUUGGUCUGUAAUGACUCUUGCCACACCUGCAGUCAUUUUCUUGACAUUUUCUUCAUCUACUGUUUCCCAUCUCUUUCUUUUUAAUCUUUCCGUGUCGUUAG
ensembl:lncRNA